rfam:Gossypium hirsutum cultivar TM-1 scaffold5928.1_1, whole genome shotgun sequence
UGUUAAAAAUUUCAUCCAUUUCUACUAUUAAAAAUUGGCAUUGCUAUUAGAAUAACUUGACAAUUAUAUGUGGUGUGCUAUGUACCUCAUUUUGACAUACUAGAACCAAUUUUUUACGGUAGAAAUGAUGGAAUUUUUAACA